GUGCUUAACACAUGCAAGUCGCGUGCGCAGUCUGUAGCAAUACGGAUGGGCGCACGGCGCACGGGUGCGUAACACGUGGGCAAUCUGCCCUCCGAUGGGGAAUAACCCCGCGAAAGCGGGGCUAAUACCGCAUAACAUUCCUUGGACCAUGGUUUGAGGAUUCAAAGCAGCAAUGCGUCGGAGGAGGAGCCCGCGCCCGAUUAGCUAGUUGGUGAGGUAACGGCUCACCAAGGCAAUGAUCGGUAGCUGGUCUGAGAGGAUGAUCAGCCACACUGGAACUGAGA
rnacentral:rRNA from 1 species